UCUCUCUGCAGGUUACACCACCCCCAACCUGGACCCCAUCCAAUAGGCUCGUGGUCCCUGAUGGUCCUGGACCACUGAUUUGAGGCCUUUCUGCUUCCUUUGAUUCAGUCUUUGGCAGAGACCCAGGAGCAGGAGUCCUUGAUGGCACCUGGCCCUUUCUAGUCACCGACAAGGGAAACCUGAGAAACCAUUCUCAGAAAUGGAACUAAAUUGACACAGCAUUUGUCUCCUCCAGAGGAUACAGCACCAAGGCGCCAUCUUGGAAGUAGACUGGAGCUCUUAGCAGACCAGAACCUGUGGGCCUCCUAAGACGAUGUUGCUGGAUGUCCCCUGCUGACCCCACAGACUGGCUCCUCUGGUGUCCGCUGACUUGGCCUGGUGAGAAGGGCAGGGCCAGGCCCUUCCCUGUCUCGACCUGCAUUCCCACCCAACACAGCAAGCUAUUUUGAAAAAACUUCUCUAUCAGUUCUUGUGAGUUAUUUGUCUAAUAAACAA
rnacentral:lncRNA from 1 species